GUGGAGGCGGCGCGCGCUGUGCAUUGUGGGUGGCGAGCAGCUGGUUUGGAUUCCCGCUCACGGCCACCGUCAGUGGCGAGCGAGCGCUUCUGAAGCGGCGGCUCGCUGGGCCUCCUCUGCGUCGACUCAGCCUGAAGGCGGGUGUCUCAGAUUGCCAGCACCAUGUGAUGGGAGCUCCAGGGCAUGCUGCGUGCUCGCCAGGAGGGGCUGGGUAAGAUGGCGUAGUCGCUGGAGCAGCUGCGGGCGCGGCACCGUCGCUCUCACCCUGGCGGAGUGCAGCAACACAGUGGAGCGGCACCAGCGGGACACUCUGGACAACGCAGCCAAGGCUGUUGCCCCGCUCGCCCGACUCGUUGUGAGGCUUGCCCACCCCCCAGGGCGUUGUCGUGAAGAUACCGCUGGGAGGAAGAAUAUCUCACAAUACUGGAAGAGGCGGUGGUGUUGCAAGCCUGUAAUCCAGCAGUGGAAGGCAGCAAGGACGUCCAAUCGGGUGGGUCAGAAAAUAACAACAAAAAUACAAACAUCACAGGAAAAGUAAACAAAUUGUUUCCAAAUAUACAAAUUAAACUGAACUCUUUUUAUCUUACCAUAGACUCAUGCAAACAUGUUGGACUCGCACAGAGACCUUAACCACUAAACCUCGAACAAUUAAAACCCUCUAAACCUCUAAACCCCUAACUAUCUAAAUCCAUAACCAUCUAAACCGCUAACCCUCUCAACCCCUUUACUCUUACAACCCUAAUCUUUAAACCCCUCGCCCUCUAAAAGCUUAACCUCUAAACCCCCAAAACCCUAACCCUCUCAACCCCUAACCCUCUAA